rnacentral:rRNA from 1 species
GUAGUCUCGCACAGAUGCAUAUCAAUAAGCGGAGGAAAAGAAACUAACAAGGAUUCCCCUAGUAACGGCGAGUGAAAGCGGGAAGAGCUCAAAUUUGAAAUCUUAAAGGGUUUCCCUUUACGAAUUGUAGUUUAAAGAAGUGUUUUCUGUUGAGGUUUUGGUAAAAGUUCUUUGGAAUAGGACAUCAUAGAGGGUGAGAAUCCCGUAUUUGACCUUUACUUUCAACUUUGUGAUACACUUUCAAAGAGUCGGAUUGUUUGGGAAUGCAGUCCAAAAUGGGUGGUAAAUUUCAUCUAAAGCUAAAUAUUGGCGAGAGACCGAUAGCGAACAAGUACCGUGAGGGAAAGAUGAAAAGAACUUUGAAAAGAGAGUUAAACAGUACGUGAAAUUGUCAAAAGGGAAGCGUUUGACACCAGUGUUGUUUUUCUGAAAAUCAAUUAAAGAACUGUUUAUGCUAAGCUGUUUAGACUUUAUCAGCUAACUGUUUAGUUUUGAGCUUUUCUUUAAUGCACUUUUCAGUUAACAAGUCAACAUCAAUUUCUUUUGCUGUAAAAAAGCUUGAGGAAGGUGGCUUGAGAUUCGUCUUAAGUGUUUAUAGCCUCUUGCCUAUGCAGUCGGAGAGAUUGAGGUCUGCAGCGUAGAUCCUUCGGGGCUAAAUGCAUUUGUGCUAAGUUAUAGCAUUUUAUAGACAACUUGUUGACUAUGAUUUGUCUUGUAGCUUACUCGCUUAUGUUAUUUUACCUACGCUUAGGAUGUUGAAGACUCUACAGAGAU